AGUGAACGCUGGCGGUAGGCCUAACACAUGCAAGUCGAACGGCAGCACAGUAAGAGCUUGCUCUUACGGGUGGCGAGUGGCGGACGGGUGAGGAAUACAUCGGAAUCUACUUUUUCGUGGGGGGUAACGUAGGGAAACUUACGCUAAUCCCGCAUACGACCUACGGGUGAAAGCAGGGGAUCUUCGGACCUUUCGCGAUUGAAUGAGCCGAUGUCGGAUUAGCUAGUUGGCGGGGUAAAGGCCCACCAAGGCGACGAUCCGUAGCUGGUCUGAGAGGAUGAUCAGCCACACUGGAACUGAGACACGGUCCAGACUCCUACGGGAGGCAGCAGUGGGGAAUAUUGGACAAUGGGCGCAAGCCUGAUCCAGCCAUACCGCGUGGGUGAAGAAGGCCUUCGGGUUGUAAAGCCCUUUUGUUGGGAAAGAAAAGCAGCAGGUUAAUACCCCGCUGUUCUGACGGUACCCAAAGAAUAAGCACCGGCUAACUUCGUG
rnacentral:rRNA from 1 species